GCAGUGGUGAGUCAGUGGUAGACUUCUUACCUUGGAAGAAAGAGACCUGGGUUCAAUUCCCAGCCAAUGCA
rnacentral:tRNA from 1 species